GUAACCAUCACACUGAAGACACCAUGGGAUGAAGCUCCCAUGUUGUCUUCACCUGGAGUCGACACCUUCAGGGAGAAGUUGGCAUCAAAUUAAACUCAGUGUGUCAGGGCAGCACGGAACUAACCCUGGUACAUGAUGGAUGAACCUGAGACUCUGAUUUAAAACUGACAAAAUGGUGCAAGAGCGUGCUGUUGUCCUUACUGUCCCUGUAAUUUCUCUGAGAUCCCCAUCACUGAAAACCAAGCCAAGCUGUGUUUCAGAGGUACCACAAAAGCCGUUCCGCCCAUGAAUUAGGCGUCGGUGAGAAGCUGAAUUUAAGCCCACUAUUGUAUGGGAAUGUCCACUCCACUUUGCCACACUAAAGACAUUCAGGCAGGCAGAACACCCUCCGUC
ensembl:lncRNA